rnacentral:rRNA from 1 species
GCCUGGCCCUAAAUCUUGAUGCUCGAUAUUACCUGAGCGUCCGCCCGAGAACUACGAGCACAAACGCUUAAAACUCUAAGGACUUGGCGGUGCUCCAAACCCACCUAGAGGAGCCUGUUCUGUAAUCGAUAAUCCACGAUAUUACCUGACCCAUUCCCUUGCACGAAACAGCCUACAUACCGCCGUCGCCUUCCCACCUCAUAGACAGCCCAACAGUGGACGCAAUAGCCUAACCCGCUAGCAAGACAGGUCAAGGUAUAGCCCACGGAAUGGAAGCAAUGGGCUACAUUUUCUARAAUAGAACAUACGGAUAAGGGUAUGAAACUGCCCUUAGAAGGCGGAUUUAGCAGUAAAGAGAGACAAUUGAGCUCUCUUUAAGCCGGCUCUGGAGCACGU